rnacentral:rRNA from 1 species
GACGAACGCUGGCGGCGUGCCUAAUACAUGCAAGUCGAGCGGACAGAAGGGAGCUUGCUCCCGGAAGUUAGCGGCGGACGGGUGAGUAACACGUGGGCAACCUACCCUGUAGAUCGGGAUAACAUCGAGAAAUCGGUGCUAAUACCGGAUAAUCAUUUGAAGUGCAUGCUUCGAAUGUAAAAGAUGGCUCCGGCUAUCACUACGGGAUGGGCCCGCGGCGCAUUAGCUAGUUGGUAAGGUAAUGGGUUACCAAGGCAACGAUGCGUAGCCGACCUGAGAGGGUGAUCGGCCACACUGGGACUGAGACACGGCCCAGGCUCCUACGGGAGGCAGCAGUAGGGAAUCUUCCGCAAUGGACGAAAGUCUGACGGAGCAACGACGCGUGAGUGAUGAAGGUUUUCGGAUCGUAAAGCUCUGUUGUUAGGGAAGAACAAGUGCCGUUUGAAUAAGGCGGCACCUUGAAGGUACCUAACCAGAAAGCCACGGCUAACUACGUGCCAGCCGCCGCAGUAAGAC